rnacentral:rRNA from 1 species
UACAGAGGUGGCAAGCGUUGUUCGGAAUUACUGGGCGUAAAGGGCGCGUAGGCGGCCUCGUAAGUCCUGUGUGAAAUCCCCCGGCUCAACUGGGGAACUGCACAGGAAACUGCGAGGCUUGAGUUCGGGAGAGGGAAGCGGAAUUCCGGGUGUAGCGGUGAAAUGCGUAGAUAUCCGGAGGAACACCGGUGGCGAAGGCGGUUCUCUGGGCCUUACCUGACGCUGAGGAGCGAAAGCGUGGGGAGCAAACAGG